rnacentral:rRNA from 1 species
UACGUAGGGGGCAAGCGUUGUCCGGAUUUAUUGGGCGUAAAGCGCUCGCAGGUAGUUCGUCGCGUCGUGCGUGAAAGACCCCGGCUCAACUGGGGGGUGUCGUGCGAUACGGGCGGACUGGAGGCCAGUAGGGGGAUGCGGAAUUCCGGGUGUAGUGGUGGAAUGCGUAGAGAUCCGGAGGAAUACCGAUGGCGAAGGCAGCCCCCUGGGAUAACACUGACGCUCAUGCACGAAAGCGUGGGGAGCAAACAGG